rnacentral:miRNA from 1 species
AGGGUAAGCUGCACCUCUGAU